rnacentral:rRNA from 1 species
GACGAACGCUGGCGGCGUGCUUAACACAUUCAAGUCGAACGGAAAGGCCCUGCUUUUGUGGGGUGCUCGAGUGGCGAACGGGUGAGUAACACGUGAGUAACCUGCCCUUGACUUUGGGAUAACUUCAGGAAACUUGGGCUAAUACCGGGUAGGAGCUCCUGCUGCAUGGUGGGGGUUGGAAAGUUUCGGCGGUUGGGGAUGGACUCGCGGCUUAUCAGCUUGUUGGUGGGGUAGUGGCUUACCAAGGCUUUGACGGGUAGCCGGCCUGAGAGGGUGACCGGCCACAUUGGGACUGAGAUACGGCCCAGACUCCUACGGGAGGCAGCAGUGGGGAAUAUUGCACAAUGGGCGGAAGCCGGAUGCAGCAACGCCGCGUGCGGGAUGACGGCCUUCGGGUGGUAAACCGCUUUCGCCUGUGACGAAGCGUGAGUGACGGUAAUGGGUAAAGAAGCACCGGCUAACUACGU